rnacentral:rRNA from 1 species
UACGUAGGGCGCAAGCGUUGUCCGGAAUUAUUGGGCGUAAAGAGCUCGUAGGCGGCUUGUCACGUCGGGUGUGAAAGCCCGGGGCUUAACCCCGGGUCUGCAUUCGAUACGGGUUAGCUAGAGUGUGGUAGGGGAGAUCGGAAUUCCUGGUGUAGCGGUGAAAUGCGCAGAUAUCAGGAGGAACACCGGUGGCGAAGGCGGAUCUCUGGGCCAUUACUGACGCUGAGGAGCGAAAUCGUGGGGAGCGAACAGG